GACGAACGCUGGCGGCGUGCCUAAUACAUGCAAGUCGAACGCAUUUUCUUUCACCGUAGUUUGCUACACCGACAGAAAAUGAGUGGCGAACGGGUGAGUAACAUGUGGGUAACCUGCCCAUCAGCGGGGGAUAACACUUGGAAACAGGUGCUAAUACCGCAUAAUUCCAUUUACCGCAUGGUAGAUGGAUGAAAGGCGCUUUUGCGUCACUGAUGGAUGGACCCGCGGUGCAUUAGCUAGUUGGUGGGGUAACGGCCUACCAAGGCUGCGAUGCAUAGCCGGCCUGAGAGGGUGAUCGGCCACACUGGGACUGAGACACGGCCCAGACUCCUACGGGAGGCAGCAGUAGGGAAUCUUCGGCAAUGGACGCAAGUCUGACCGAGCAACGCCGCGUGAGUGAAGAAGGUUUUCGGAUCGUAAAACUCUGUUGUUAGAGAAGAACAAGGAUGAGAGUGGAAAGUUCAUCCCUUGACGGUAUCUAACCAGAAAGCCAUGGCUAACUACGUG
rnacentral:rRNA from 1 species